rnacentral:rRNA from 1 species
GAUGAACGCUGGCGGCGUGCCUAAUACAUGCAAGUCGAGCGAACAGACGAGGAGCUUGCUCCUUUGACGUUAGCGGCGGACGGGUGAGUAACACGUAGGUAACCUACCUAUAAGACUGGGAUAACUUCGGGAAACCGGAGCUAAUACCGGAUAAUAUUUCGAACCGCAUGGUUCCAUAGUGAAAGACGGUUUUGCUGUCACUUAUAGAUGGAUCCGCGCCGCAUUAGCUAGUUGGUAAGGUAACGGCUUACCAAGGCAACGAUGCGUAGCCGACCUGAGAGGGUGAUCGGCCACACUGGAACUGAGACACGGUCCAGACUCCUACGGGAGGCAGCAGUAGGGAAUCUUCCGCAAUGGGCGAAAGCCUGACGGAGCAACGCCGCGUGAGUGAUGAAGGUCUUCGGAUCGUAAAACUCUGUUAUUAGGGAAGAACAAAUGUGUAAGUAACUAUGCACGUCUUGACGGUACCUAAUCAGAAAGCCACGGCUAACUACGUG